rnacentral:rRNA from 1 species
CCUAUGUCCUAUCAGCUUGUUGGUGAGGUAAUGGCUCACCAAGGCUAUGACGGGUAUCCGGCCUGAGAGGGUGAACGGACACACUGGAACUGAGACACGGUCCAGACUCCUACGGGAGGCAGCAGUAGGGAAUAUUGCUCAAUGGGGGAAACCCUGAAGCAGCAACGCCGCGUGGAGGAUGAAGGUUUUCGGAUUGUAAACUCCUUUUGUWAGAGAAGAUAAUGACGGUAUCUWACGAAUAAGCACCGGCUAACUCCGUGCCAGCAGCCGCGGUAAUACGGAGGGUGCAAGCGUUACUCGGAAUCACUGGGCGUAAAGAGCGCGUAGGCGGRRUARCAAGUCAGAUGUGAAAUCCURUGGCUUAACYAUAGAACUGCAUUUGAAACUGUURUUCUAGAGUGUGGG